rnacentral:lncRNA from 1 species
CUGCCUGAGCCCGCCCCUUCGGUGCGGAGGAGCAAACGCGGCCCCGGUCAGCUCAGCCCUCCGUUGCCGCCCGAUCCGGGCCGGUUCGGCUAACCCGGUCCAUUCCGAGCCGGCGGCGAGGACCCGGCGGCCACUUCAUCCCGGCCUGCAGUGCAUCGCCGGGCCCAAGCUCCUCCUCGCGGUCUCCCGAGCCUGGUGCCUGGCCUGGCCGCCUUGCAGGGGCCGGAGUGCGGCCAAGAAAUCCCGAGCUGGACACUGAGAACGUCAGUCCUAUCUUUUCUGAGUCUUGAAUCAAAAGCUUCCAGGACUCUAUGGCCUAGAAGUGAAAUUAAAGACACCUCCUGCUUCAGAGAGUGCUUUAAGCAAGGAAGGUUUUCCUUGGCUUCUGUCUGCAUUCCAUAAAAUACUCAUUGCCUUUUAGGGGACAUCACUGUGGAGGAGGAUCAGACAAGAGAAGAUUGGUGAGCAGGAUCAUAAUCAUGCAUGGUGUAAGAUUCCCAGAUUUUUCCCAUCAGAACAACUUUAGACAACAGAGAGAAGAAUUAUGAAUAUAAGGAGCGACAGCUUUUGAGACAGGCAGAAGCAAUACUGCCCGUUUUGGGCUCGAGACAUAUGGGCACUUUCCCCGACAGAGGAGAGGUGUCCACCCUGAAGGGCUGUCAGAGCACCUGGGGGAGCGAUCUUGGGUCCUGGAUCCCUCAGAGACUAGCCUGCACAGGUAAGAGUGCAGACUACAGAAGCAACACAGCUUCUGGGACAGGCAGAAGAGACAUGAGGCAGGUCUGAACUUCAGAUACCUGUGUACCUUCACUGCAAGAGGAGAGCUUGCCUGCAAAGAGUACUCUGACAACUGAGACUCAGCAAAGAGUUAGACUCCCAGGUCUGCUGACAGAGGCUAAAAGAAUCAGAGGAGGAAGAAGCUCCAACCAGAGACAACUAUAACAAAUAAAUCCAGAGAUUACCAGAUGGCGAAAGGCAAAUGUAAGAAUCUUACUAACAGAAACCAAGACUAUUCACCAUCAUUAGAACCCAGCACUCCCACCUCAGCCAGUCCUGGAUACCCCAACAUACCCGAAAAGCAAGACUGAGAUUUAAAAUCAUAUCUCAUGAUGCUGGUAGAGGAUAUCAGGAAGGAAUUUAAUAACUCACUUAAAAAAACACAGGAGAACACUGCUAAAGAGGUACAAGUUCUUAAAGAAAUACAGGAAAACACAACCAAACAGGUGAUGGAAUUGAACAAAAACCAUCCAAGACCUAAAAAGGGAAGUAGAGACAAUAAAUAAAACCCAAAGUGAGACAACACUGGAGAUAGAAACCCCAGGAAAGAAAUCUGGAAACAUAGAUGCAAGCAUCAGCAACAGAAUACAAGAGAUGAUAGAUAGAAUCUCAGGUGGAGAAGAUUCCAUAGAGAAUAUGAGCACAAUCAAAGAAAAUGAGAAUGCAAAAAGAUCCUAACUUAAAACAUCCAGGAAAUCCAGGACACAAUGAGAAGACCAAACCUAAGGAUAACAGGAGUUGAUGAGGAUGAAUAUUUUUCAACUUCAAGGACCAGCAAAUAUCUUCAACAAAAUUAUAGAAGAAAACUUCCCAAACCUAAAGAAAGAGAUGCCCAUGAACAUACAAGAAGCCUACAGAACUCCAAAUAGACUGGACCAGAAGAGGAAUUCCUCCCAACACAUAAUAAUCAGAACAACAAAAGGAAUAAAUAAAGAUAGAAUAUUAAAAGCAAUAAGAGAAAAAGGUCAACCUAUUAGAAUUACACGAGACUUCUCACCAGAGACUUGAAAGCCAGAAGAUCCUGGACAGACGUUAUACAGACCCUAAGAGAACACAAAUGCUACUAUACCCAGCAAAACUCUCAGUUACCAUAGAUGGAGAAACCAAAGUAUUUCAUUAUAAAACCAAAUUCACACAAUAUCUUUCCACAAAUCCAGCCCUUCAAAGGAUAAUAAAUACCAAUACAAGGACAGAAAUUACACCCUAGAAAAAGCAAGAAAGUAAUCCUUUAACAAACUUAAAAGAAGACAGCCUCAAGAACAGAAUCCCAACUUUAAUAACAAAAAUAACAGGAAGCAACAAUUACAUUUCUUUAAUUUCUCUUAACAUCAAUGGACUCAAUUCCCCUAUAAAAAGACAUAGACUAAUAGACUGGCUACAAAAACAGGACCCAACAUUUUGUUGCGUAAAGGAAAGCCACCUCAGGGAAAAGGUCAGACACUACCUCAGAGUGAAAGGCUGGAAAGAAUUUUCCAAGCAAAUGGUCUGAAAAAAUAAGCUGUAGUAGCCAUUCUAAUAUAGAAUAAAAUUGAUAUCCAACCCAAAGUUAUCAAAAAACACAAGGAGGGGCACUUUAUACUCAUCAAAGGUAAAAAUCUACCAAGAUGAACUCUCAAUUCUGAAUAUCUAUGCUCCAAAUACAAGGCGGCCACAUUCAUUAUAGAAACUUUAGUAGAGCUCAAAGCACACAUUGCACCUCACACAAUAGUAGUGGGAGAGUUGAACACCACACUCUCACCAAUGGACAGAUCCUGGAAAAGAUAAUAAACAGAGUCACAUGGACACUAACAGAAGUUAUGAAAUAAAUGGAUUUAAUUGAUAUCUACAGAACAUUUUAUCCUAAAAGAAAAGGAUAUACCUUCUUCUCAGCACCACAUGGUACCUCCUCCAAUGCAUCCUAUCUGAUCACCAUGGAUUAAGGCUGAUCUUCAAUAACAACGUAAAUAGUAGACAGCCAACAUUCACAUGAAAAACAAACAACACUCUAAUCAAUGAUUCCUUGGUCAAGGAUGAAAUAAAGAAAGAAAUUGAAGACUUUUUAGAGUUUAAUGAAAAUGAAGCCACAACAUACCCAAACUUAUGGGACACAGUGAAGGUAGUCCUAAGAGGAAAACUCAUAGCCCUGAGUGCCUCCAAAAGGAAACUACAGAGAUGAUAAACUAGCAGCUUGACAGCACACCAAGAAGCUCUAGAACUAAAGGAAGCAAAUUCACCCAAGAGGCAUAGAUGGCAGGAAAUAAUCAAACUCAGGGCUGAAAUCAACCAAGUGCAAAGGAAAACAACUAUUCAAAGAAUCAAUCAAACCAGCAGUGGUUCCUUGAAAAACUCAAGAAGAUAGAUAAAUCCUUAGCCAGACUAACUAGAGGGCACAGGGACAGUAUCCUAAUUAACAAAAUCAAAAAUCAAAUACGAGAGAUCCCAACAGAACUUGAGAAAAUCCAAAACAUCAUCAGAUCCUAGUACAAAAGGCUAUACUCAACAAAACUAGAAAACCUGGAUGAAAUGAACAACUUCCUAGACAGAUACCAGGUACCAAAGUUAAAUUAGGAUAAGAUUAACAAUCUAAACAGUCCUAUUUCCACUAAAGAAAUAGAAGCAGUCAUCAGUAGUCUCCCAACCAAAAAAAGCCAGGACCAGAAGGGUUUAGUGCUCUACCCAAUUCAUUCUAUGAAGCUACAAUUACUCUGAUACCUAAACCAAACAAAGAUCC